GACGACGCUGGCGGCGUGGAUUAGGCAUGCAAGUCGAACGGUAUCAUCCUUCGGGGGUGAGAGAGUGGCGAACUGGUGAGUAACACGUAGGUUAUCUACCCUCAAGACGGGGACAACCCAGGGAAACUUGGGCUAAUACCGGAUGUGAGCAACUUUUAGUUGUUUGAAAGGUGGCGUAAGCUGUCGCUUGGGGAUGAGCCUGCGUCCUAUUAGUUAGUUGGUGAGGUAACGGCUCACCUAGGCAAUGAUAGGUAGGCGGCCUUAACGGGUGGUCGCCCACACUGGGAUUGAGAUACGGCCCAGACUCCUACGGGAGGCAGCAGUCGAGAAUAGUCUACAAUGGUCGGAAGACUGAUAGUGCGACGCCGCGUGAACGAUGAAUCCCUUCGGGGUGUAAAGUUCUUUUAUAUGUGAGCAGUGCUUCUUAUAUUAACAGUAUGGGGAGAGAGAUAUUAGCAUAUGAAUAAGCAACGGCUAACUCCGUA
rnacentral:rRNA from 1 species